UACCUUCUGAAUACUGUCUGCUUGUCUGAACAAACCCGGCUGUGAAUGUAUCCGCGAUUCCUCUCUGCACCUUAAAGAUCCCUCCCAGCGUGCCCACUGCACCAGGAAUCAUCUGUUUCCGAUACGGAGUCCAUUUAGAACCACUGUCACAAAUACAGAACAUUGGUAAGAGAUUGGGAACUGCUCGACCAUCAAGCUAUCCACAGCAGCUCUACAGAGCCUGAGUGUGAUUUCAUUUUGGGUUGCACUGGUAAAAUACAUAUAACAUCAAAAGGGGAUCUAUGAUAGCUCUAUAGAGUAUAGAUCAUUCACGGUGUAUCCUCUAUGUAAUCUAUAUGUGUGUAGAGCAAUGUGUUUUUUAGGUAUGUGAGACAAUCCUGCAAUUUGCAUUCCCGAGCUAUAACAAACUCCCAAUCCAUGCAAAGAAAAUGUCAGAUCCUAGUUGGUACAUACGAGAGACCCAAGCCUUAAGUGAGCAGUAUUCCUCUUGUAAGCAGCGUUUGGCGUCAGCACUUUUCAAAAAAUGCAUUAAUGAGCAUUUGAAAAAAAAAUCAAAAUGCAAUUUCCAGAAGACAGAAGGUGCCGGUGAGUGAUGAGGAUUGGGCUGUCUGCUGGAUUGAUAAAUGAGCGCUGGGUUUGGUAGAAUGGGGGAAAGGGGGUAUCUGAUCAAUCUCAACAUUGACAACCAUGCGGUCCCCGAAAGCCUCAAGUGAUCCAGACCAAGAGACACGCAGCAAACACAGUUACUUUAUUGUAACAGCUAAAGCAACAGCUGUAUUGAAGAGCAUGCAAAUUAAAAGAUGCAUUAGGAUCUUACAGUGGCACCAGAAAGUAUUCAUGCAACUUCCUGGUCAUGGCUUUCAAUUCAUAUUGUGUUCAUAUUAUUAUUAUUAUUUGUUUAUUUAGCAGACGCCUUUAUCCAAGGCGACUUACAGAGACUAGGGUGUGUGAACUAUGCAUCAGCUGCAGAGUCACUUACAAUUACGUCUCACCCGAAAGAUGGAGCACAAGGAGGUGAAGUGACUUGCUCAGGGUCACACAAUGAGUCGGUGGCUGAGGUGGGAUUUGAACCGGGGACCUCCUAGUUACAAGUCCUUUUCUUUAACCACUGGACCACACAGCUGUUAUUUUUUUUAUUUGGCUCGAUGACUUUUUUAUAUUUUAAUGUCUUGCUAACUUUUCAUUGUUUAUUGUAAUCUUUUUGUAGUUGUUGUGGAGCCUCUGUACAUUGAAGAAGACAAUUAAAAUUGUGAACUUG